AUUGAACGCUGGCGGCAGGCCUAACACAUGCAAGUCGAACGAGUGGCGGACGGGUGAGUAAUGUCUGGGAAACUGCCUGAUGGAGGGGGAUACCUACUGGAACCGGUAGUUAAUACCCCAUACCAUCAUAUGUGCCCACAUGGGAUUAGCUAGUUGGUGGGGAAAAGGCUCACCAAGUCGACGAUCCCUAGCUGGUCUGAGAGGAUGACCAGCCAAACUGGAACUGAGACACGGUCCAGACUCCUACGGGAGGCAGCAGUGGGGAAUAUUGCACAAUGGGCGCAAGCCUGAUGCAGCCAUGCCGCGUGUAUGAAGAAGGCCUUCGGGUUGUAAAGUACUUUCAGCGGGGAGGCGUUACCCGCAGAAGAAGCACCGGCUAACUCCGUGCCAGCAGCCGCGGUAAUUC
rnacentral:rRNA from 1 species